UAUUCCUCCAACUUGCCUCUUAAACAUCAGAACAUAUCCAGCCCCCUCUCUUCUCCAGUACACAUUCCAAUUCACACACAACCUAGGGUGAGUAAUUUAAAAGUAGCAACAAAGAGUCACCAUCUUCCUGCUUUGUAUUCUUACCAACUGAUGUGAGACACCACAUAUUUCCAUGUGCUUGGGUAUUGUUGCACCUGUUGUUCUUCAGUUGCGCUUAUCCAGAAAAUACUUUAAAGAAAAUGUUUGUUGUUUGGAGAUGCAACUCAUGCACUUGGACCAUGAACUAAAACAAGCAUCAAAUAUUUCUAGUGUAUCAUAUUGGAUGAGAAUAUUAAUUUGGUUAGAUUUGAGCCGUCCGGAGGUCUUUUUACUCGAGAAGUGCAUUUUAAAGUAUCGGUUUGUCGACUUUGAGGUAAGUAUCUUGCCUAACCUUGUGUGGAGGACUUCCCCUUAGUAUUUGAGUCUUCCAUGCUAAUUGUAGUCCGUGCAUGCGAGGUGACAAGUGUGUGCUCGAACUUAUUUGUGGAAAAUUUGCUCUAGGGUUCUUAGGUCCUUAUGUUCAUUAUGUAAAAGUAUUCCGUUAUGAUUGAGUUUCCUAAUUGCUUAAAUUACCUCUAUAUGCUCCAUAUGAUGUUGCUAGCUUUCCUCUAAUUCCUACGUGUUACAUUGACCCUUAUUUGCCUUACUUGAAGUAAUUGCCUUCCUUAUUGUUUUGAUACUUCUUGAUUGUGAGUUCCUCUAUGGCUUCGUGCAAAUAGGUUACAUGUCCA